CGAACUGCGAUAAGUAAUGUGAAUUGCAGAAUUCAGUGAAUCAUCGAAUCUUUAAACGCACCUUGCGCUCCUUGGUAUUCCUUGGAGCAUGCCUGUUUGAGUAUCAUGAAAUCUUCAAAGUAAAUCUUUUGUUAACUCAAUUGGUUUCUACUUUGGUAUUGGAGGUCUUUGCAGCUUCACACCUGCUCCUCUUUGUUCAUUAGCUGGAUCUCAGUGUUAUGCUUGGUUCCACUCGGCGUGAUAAGUUAUCUAUCGCUGAGGACACUGUAAAAGGUGGCCAAGGUAAAUGCAGAUGAACCGCUUCUAAUAGUCCAUUGACUUGGACAAUACUUUUAUGAUCUGAUCUCAAAUCAGGUAGGACUACCCGCUGAACUUAAGC
rnacentral:misc_RNA from 1 species